GGGGUGAUAGCUCAGUUGGUUAGAGCGUCUGCCUGUCACGCAGAAGGUCGCGGGUUCGAGUCCCGUUCAUCCCGCCA
rnacentral:tRNA from 1 species